rnacentral:rRNA from 1 species
ACUGAAUAGAUACCCGGGUAGUCCACGCCCUAAACGAUGUCUACUAGUUGUUGGUGGAGUAAAAUCCAUGAGUAAACGCAGCUAAACGCGUGAAGUAGACCGCCUGGGGAGUACGGUCGCAAGAUUAAAAACUCAAAGGAAUUGACGGGGGCCCGCACAAGCGGUGGAUUAUGUGGAUUAAAUUCGAUGCAACGCGAAAAACCUUACCUGGCCUUGACAUGCCACUAACGAAGCAGGGAUGCAUUAGGUGCCCGUAAGGGAAAGUGGACACAGGUGCUGCAUGGCUGUCGUCAGCUCGUGUCGUGAGAUGUUGGGUUAAGUCCCGCAACGAGCGCAACCCUUGCCAUUAAUUGCCAUCAUUUAGUUGGGCACUUUAAUGGGACUGCCGGUGACAAACCGGAGAAGUGGGGAUGACGUCAAGUCCUCAUGGCCCUUAUGGCCAGGGCUUCACACGUAAUACAAUGGUCGGUACAGAGAGUUGCCAACCCGCGAGGGGUAGCUAAUCUCAGAAAGCCGAUCGUAGUCCGGAUUGUUCU